rnacentral:lncRNA from 1 species
GCUGCUGCUGGAGCCGGUGUCCGGGCUGGUGAUGGGGUUAAUUCCCUUUCGUAAGACUCUUACUUGCACCCACCCAGCCCCGCCGUCGCCCCGCCGCGCCGCGCUCCAGCCGCCUCCUCCUCCUUCUCAGUAACGCGGAAAGGCAGGCAGGGGAGAGAUGUGUGUGAGAAGGUGGCCUUCCCCGCGGAGCGGUCGGCGCUCCAGCCAGGGCCCCGCUGAGGUGCUGUUGCUGCCAGCCCGCGGGGAGGUCUGGUUCCGAGGGCGUCCUGGCUAGUCUGGUCGGCCGCUGCGGCUGCAACUGCAUCCACUACCUUGCGCCCACCGCCCCCACCCGGGGGCCAUGUGAAAAGCAAACCCCUCGAGGCCUAGCGGAGGAGGCAGGGGAAAGGUUCCCGAGUCCCUGCCUUGGCUGCUGCUGCUGCCCUUGCAGCCCCAGGGACUCGGGAACCAGCCACAGAAGGCCUGCCAGGAGCGGUGCCGUGAGUGGCUCUGCUUUCCCGGGUGGUUGGCGCCGCUACCCCGGGCUCAUCGGCCCACCACACGGCCGCGGCCCCUGGCCUUACAACCCCGAGAAUUUUUAAAAAGGAAAUAAAGCGUUACGACCGGUUGGUGAAAGGUGAGGUGGUACAUUUUGCCUGUGGUACCAGAAAAAGCACAGUGGGGCUAUUAAAAAGAAAGUUGAAUGACUGUCAACGCCACGGAUCUCGGAGAUCAGAUUUACACACGUUAGGGUUGAGCCUUAGGUUCUCCCUCCAAUUCCCUGUGUGGUUGAAGUUUUUUGCCGUUGUUCUCUUUUUUGUGUUAUUGUUGUUGCUAGGUGCGAAGGAGAGUGCCUCUGUUCUUUGAGCUUGCUUUUAUGCAGAAACUUGAAGGCUGUCAUGUCCCAUCUAUAAUUGGGCUAGCGAGUCAGUUAAGUAAAAGGCAAAGAGGAGCUUUCUAAAAUAGUAAGGCUUAGUAAAUAGCAGAUGAUUUUUCUAAUAAGAUUUUUCAGAAAAAAAAGUUUUUUUAUGUAUGGUUAUGGUCUGCCUAAUUGUAAUUCUGAAGAAACACUUGGCUUUUAGCCUAAUGUCAUCUAUUACAAGAAGUUUUGAAUAAUGAAAAAAAGUCAAACUGGCAGCCCACCUACUUGUAAUAUUUGAAACAGUAAGACCUGUGUAAUAUUUAACAGAGUAGGAUAACAAUGCGACUAAAGUAAUUGGACACACCCCAGUUUAACAAAAUUUGGCGUAUUUGGCCAUAUUUGAGAGAGAAUGCUUCCUUUCCACGUGUUGAUUGAGUGCUCAUCUUUUCAGUCCUUGCUUUUAUGUCCAGGUGAAUAUGUCCUUAAAUGAUGGAUUCUGUAAUUUGUUGUAGACUUGUCUGUAAUCAAAGGUAAAACUCUAGGCCCACUUCUAAGGUUUAUUUGUUACCAGAAUAAAUUUGGGUUCUGAGGAAAUAUCUGAGUUUUGACUAAGUGUUAUAUCAUUUUUUCAGGGCCUGUGAAAAAAUACUCAAUACUGGCUUAAUGAUUUUUUCAUUAAGCUUAAUGAAAUACUCAAUACUGGCCUAAUGAUUUCAGGGUCUGUGAAAAAUACUCAAUACUGGCUUAAUGAUUUUUUCAUAUUCUGUAACUGAUAUAUCUAGAUACAGAAUUGACAGAUCCAUAGGUUCAGGACCUGGAAGAAAUUUGGAUGUGUAUUAGAAUUAAAAAAUGAAAGAUGUAACCCUGCAAGGUAAGUCCACCAAUUCCUGGCAAAGUAACCAUAGCAUUUCAUCAUAGCAUUUACUAAAACUUGUCGGUUAAUUGAUAAAUUAUAUAAUGUUUUCAGAUCUCAUGUGCCUUAUGUACAGAAAGGGGUGAUGAAAAUGUAGGAGCCUUCUGUAUUCUCAUUAGCUUCAGAACCCCUCUAACAGCCUCAUUUCCUUUUCCUCAUCUAUAAAAUGGGGAUGGUUAACUCAUGAAGUUAUGGGAAUUAGAGAUAAAGUAUAUGAAGCCCCUAGCAUCCUACCUAACAUGUAGUAUGUAUGAUUAAAUAUUAACUGUUGUUACUUCCAUGCAUAUUAAGAGAAUGAGUUUGUUAUUCAAAUGCACAUAGUAUUGUUGGAGCCUCAGAACAUGUUCUGUUAGUGAUGAGUAUUGUGGGAGUUUUCAUUUAUAUUGUAACUUUAAGUGCUAUUUGUAGUUAGCCAUUUUCAAAGUGAAAGAUGUGGGAAAUUGGUUGUCACGUACAGAAGAGUUGUUUAGAGAAGAUUCUUUGUUUUUGCCUUAAAAAUGAAGUGUUGUGUGGACUGUAUUUCCAAUGGAGUAUCUGUGAUAAAACUGUAUGGUGAAUUAUUUUAGUGAUAAAUUAUUGGAAUAUCUUUUAAAUGUCUAGUUUAUCUAGUUGCUGUCCAUAUUCAUUGUGUUACCGGGCUUCUGGCAAGCAACAGCUGAACUCUUUAUAAGAGUUAAGAUUAAAUAAGUUAUUUGAGUUUGUUAGGGCCAUAAGCUGACUACUGUUAUGUUGCUGCUUUUAAUUCUCAUUAUUUAUCAGUUCUUGAGUGUUUCUUUUCUGGGGAACAACAUGCCAGACACACUGUUCCUUUCUCCUCCCAGGCACUUUUGAAAAUGUACUGGAUAUUCACAUAUAAUAGUGUCCUUGGAGUUUGUACAGUGAGACAAAUUUAGGGUUGGCAUGAAAAUAGUUUAUUAUGAAGUCCUCUGACAGGGUUGGCCAAGGUUCAGGUCAGCUUCACCUUAUGCCUAAAUAGUGAGCCUAGGUAUACAAUUUUAGGAUGGACCUCCCAAUUUAUUGAACCCAGUUGGAUGCUCUUUUGAGGGGCCUUACCUGGUGAUAGCAGUAGAAAAUUUUAUUGAAAUAAGCUUUUUCAGAUAUUAUGUGGAAGAUAAGAAUUGCUGAGUAACAAAAGAAGCAGUGAGAGAGCACUAAGUUUUACUUUUGCCAUUCUCGAAAAUGUUACAAUCAUAAACACUUUAAGACUGAUAGGUAUAUAUUAUAUUGUUGCUAUUUGGUUUAGAAUAUUUCACUAUUAACACUUUCAUGAUCUAUUAUAAUAUGCUGGGCAGUUUGAAUGUCAUAGAGGUGUGGUUACAAAUGGUAGUGAACUUUUCAAGUAGCACCUACCUACAGCUCCAGACCACAAAAUCAAUACUGUCUUUUCAGUCAUACAUCCACAUUGUGAUAACAUUACUUGUAGUUUUAGAUGAAUAAGAGAAGGGAGCAUGUCAGUUUUUUCCUCAUUAUCAUAGUAGUGUUUUUCUAAGGGUGAAAUAAUCUUCCACUGAUCUCUGAAUUCCAAUAAUAUUUUCUAAUAAUGCAGACAUGGAUAAAGAAUCAAAUCAUAUAAUCAAACAACUUUAUUAAGUUAACUUUGCUUCCCAAAUAAGGGUAUGUUUUAUAAUUAAACUAAUUUGCUUGUACCUGAUAAGACCCAAGCAUGUGUGUUUUUCCAGGAUUUAAUUUAAUUAGUUAUUGGCUGAUGGUUAAAAUAAGAGAUGAAUUAUUUAAUCCUGGUUCAAAACUAGUUCUCUACCGGAGUUCCCGUCGUGGCUCAUUGGUUAACGAAUCCGACUAGGAAAAUGAGGUUGCGUGUUCGAUCCCUGGCCUUGCUCAGUGGGUUAAGGAUCCGGCGUUGCCGUGAGCUGUGGUGUGCUGUGGUGUAGGUCGCAGAUGUGGCUCGGAUCCCGUGUCACUGUGGCUCAGGCUUAGGCCGGCGACUACAGCUCCAAUUAGACCCCUAGCCUGGGAAUCUCCAUGUGCCGUGGGAGCAGCCCAAGAAAUGGC